AACACAACGGUUGAUUACACGAAAUAAUAGAGCACGAUAUUAAUUAUAAAUAAAAUAAAUAUAAUUGCGAGGGUAUAAAAAUAUCCCAUAUUAUCAGUUAAGGGUUGAUCGAGGUUGCAUUAUGAUUUAUCACUGAUAAGUUCUGGUGAUGAUUUCUAAAAACAUCGCUUACGAUUUCACGUAUAGGUUAACGUAGUACAUGAAACAUAGCCGUGGCAAUGGACAUUGAAAAUUCUAUAAUUUUCUAAAUGACAACACAAUCAAUAUGGUAUUUUUUAAUCUUCCAAUAUCUGGAACAAAACAGUUUUUAUAUACAUCGAGGAAAUUGAAAAAAACAUUGUUAUCGAUUGUUAAAACGACAGCACAUUGUUAUGUUUACAACAGAGAAUCCCAUGCAAUAUCGCAAAAUGCUCCGUGGAACGUAUUAUUUUUUGGUACGGACGAAUUUUCUGUCGAGAGCUUGAAAAUCUUACAUGAUAAGCGUAAAUCCAAAGUUUUACAACGAUUAGAAGUUGUUACAGUAAACAAAGGGAAAGAAAAUGCCAUUAUAAAGUAUGCAAAGGAAAAUGGAAUUAUUAUACACGAAUGGCCAAUUGAAAUUAAUGUACCUAAAAAAUUUCAUAUUGGGAUAGUUGUUUCAUUUGGUCAUUUGAUUCCAUCCAACAUCAUAGAUUCAUUUCCAUUGGGUAUGUUAAAUGUUCAUGCUAGCUUAUUACCAAGAUGGAGAGGAGCAGCACCAAUAAUUUAUUCAUUAAUGAAUGGAGAACAAGAAACAGGAGUUACAAUAAUGAAGAUAUUGCCAAAAAAAUUUGAUAUAGGAGAAAUAGUGUUGCAAAAGCAAAUUGAUAUUGGUGAGCAUGAAACAUUGCCAGAAUUAUAUGCUAAAUUAGCAAAAUUUGGAGGAAAUCUCUUGGGAGAUAUAUUCGACAAUUUACCACAAUUAAUGAAAUCUGCAGUACCUCAAAAUGAAAUGAAUGUUACAUAUGCACCAAAAAUAACAUCAAAAAUAGCUUCAAUUAAGUGGAAUGAAAUGUCAGCAAGCAAUGUUUAUAACUUAUACCGUGCUCUUUUAGGAUUGUAUCCAUUAGUUACAACAUUUCAGAAUACAACAAUAAAAUUACACGAUAUCAAAAAGAUCGAAAAACCAGUUCCAACAGAAUUGAUAGAAGAAAUGCCAGGAUCGCAGUCUGCACAAUGCCAAGAGUAGCCUCUUCGUUUCGGCGAUUUUUUAACCGGUGGAUCGAGACAGGUGAAGUGGUAGCAUUUUUUACAUUCAUCACACCUGGGACGUAAAAAGUGGAAAUGUCAUAAGUUCGGAAUACAUUUAAAAGUUCGGCAUAUGUAAUAUAUUUAUAUAAACUGACAUGACGAGAUUUUGACUGGUGCCAGGCAUAUCACAGACAUUGCAGUGUGUUAGGAGAUACAGCAUUCGAAACUAAAGACUGGACUGGCAGUGUAGAUGGAACUGGUAGGGCUGGUAGAGCAAGCGGAGCAGGCAGCGGAGGUGGUAGUUUAGGUAGUGGUGGAGAUGUUAUUUCAGUACUGGUAGAUGUGGCUACGAACAUCUGCGGACUUGAUUCGGAAGCAACUUCACCCUCUGGCCUUGGUAUUGGUUUUAUCUGUUAAACAAAAUAAAUAAACAUACAUGACGAUUAAUAAUUCAGAAAGUAGAGAAAAUAUAUGAUAAAUAAGAAGGAAUUUUGGAAAGGCGAAAAAGUAACGAUUUAAGACAAUACUUUG